GAAGCUGGAAUCGCUAGUAAUCGCAGAUCAGAAUGCUGCGGUGAAUACGUUCCCGGGUCUUGUACACACCGCCCGUCACACCAUGGGAGUUGGGAAUGCCCGAAGCCGGUGACCUAACCGAAAGGGAGGAGCCGUCGAAGGCAGGCUUGAUAACUGGGGUGAAGUCGUAACAAGGUAAC
rnacentral:rRNA from 1 species